UAAAAUCUUCAGGGCAGGGUGCAAUUCCCUAUCGGUGGUAAAGCCCACGAGCCGCAAGGCAUGAUUUGGUGAAAUUCCAAAGCCGGCAGUAAAAGUCUGAAUAAAAGAAGAGUAAA
rnacentral:ncRNA from 2 species